AACGAACGCUGGCGGCAUGCCUAACACAUGCAAGUCGAACGAGACCGUCGUGUCUAGGUGCGCACGUGUGCUUGACACGUGGGAACCUGCCCGUAGGUUCGGAAUAACUGCCCGAAGGGUGAGCUAAUACCGGAUAAUGUCUUCCGACCAAAGAGUUAUGGCCUUUGGAUGGGCGCGGGUUGGAUUAGCUAGUUGGUAGUGUAAAAGCAUACCAAGGACACGAUCCAUAGCUGGUCUGAGAGGAUGAUCAGUCACACUGGGAAUGAGACACGGCCCAGACUCGUACGGGAGGCAGCAGUAGGGUAUAUUGUACGAGGGGCGAAAGUGUGGUACAGCCAUGCCGGGUGAGUGAGGCAGGGCGUAGGGUUGUAAAGCUGCUUUAGCCGGGACGAUAAUGACAGUAACGGGAGAAGAAGCACCGGCUAACUACGUG
rnacentral:rRNA from 1 species